CCGAAGAUUUCGCAUUUCCAUGCUACUAACAUUUUCAUUUUACUAUAUCAUAAACAUAAAUUAUGUAAUUAAAGAGAUAAGUCUUAAAAGAAACUAAAAUAAUGGGUCAUUGCUAGAUAUUCUCUCUCUAGAGUUCUAGAAAGAGAAUUUGCUCUCAUUUCUUCCAUUCCUUUUAGUUAUCAAUUUAGCUGCGUGAGUCUUGUUUUGCUUCUCGUUUUGCUUUGAUUGGGUUCCAGCUUCCCUCCCCGUUCCGAGUUGGCUGUUGAUAGUGUCUAAAGCCACCGUUGCAUCGGUGGGAAGGAUAUCAGGAUGCUUGAUGUCGGUGUCUCCAGGCUUAUAACCUUCCUUUUUGGCUGAAGGUGGUCCUUGAAGGCUAUAAUAUGAGAUUAAGCUCGCCGAGGAACUCUAUGACAUCACUCUCCCGGCUAUGCAUGCAAGUCUGAGCUGGAGGAGUUCGGAGGACUGUUGCUAGAGGUAAUUGAAACCAAUGGUCCUUUAUGCUUGUGUAAGGUCUCUUUCAGACUCUUGGACGUUAGUGGGUUCCAUCGUCGAUGGCGGUCCAGCUUGUUAUAGGUAGAGAAGAGGCAGUACAGUUUUUUAUCGGCUUUUCUUAGAGUUGCUAGGUGGCCAAUUAGACCAAGCUUUUCUCUAUGCUUAUUUUGUUUGAGCUAGAUUUUGGGUCUUCUCACUAUAUUUAUCUAUGUUUCUGAGCCCAAAUUAUACAAUAUGCUUUGUGAACCUUCAUAA